GAUGAACGCUAGCUACAGGCUUAACACAUGCAAGUCGCGGGGCAGCAUGGGGGUUGCUUGCAACCCCUGAUGGCGACCGGCGCACGGGUGAGUAACGCGUAUCCAACCUGCCCUUCACCACGGGAUAACCCGGCGAAAGUCGGACUAAUACCGUAUGUUGUCCAUUGACGGCAUCCGAUUUGGACGAAAGGCUUAGCGGUGAGGGAUGGGGAUGCGUCCGAUUAGCUUGACGGCGGGGUAACGGCCCACCGUGGCGACGAUCGGUAGGGGUUCUGAGAGGAAGGUCCCCCACACUGGAACUGAGACACGGUCCAGACUCCUACGGGAGGCAGCAGUGAGGAAUAUUGGUCAAUGGGCGGAAGCCUGAACCAGCCAAGUAGCGUGCAGGAUGACGGCCCUAUGGGUUGUAAACUGCUUUUAUGCGGGGAUAAAGGGGCCCACGUGUGGGCUUUUGCAGGUACCGCAUGAAUAAGGACCGGCUAAUUCCGUGCCAGCAGCCGCGGUAAUACGGAAGGUCCGGGCGUUAUCCGGAUUUAUUGGGUUUAAAGGGAGCGUAGGCCGCCCCUUAAGCGUGUUGUGAAAUGCGGGUGCUCAACAUCCGACUUGCAGCGCGAACUGGGGGGCUUGAGUGCGCCGAAAGUAGGCGGAAUUCGUGGUGUAGCGGUGAAAUGCUUAGAUAUCACGAAGAACUCCGAUUGCGAAGGCAGCUUACUGUAGCGCAACUGACGCUGAUGCUCGAAAGCGUGGGUAUCGAACAGGAUUAGAUACCCUGGUAGUCCACGCGGUAAACGAUGGGUGCUCGUUGUCGGCCUGUAUGGUCGGUGACCAAGCGAAAGCGUUAAGCAUCCCACCUGGGGAGUACGCCGGCAACGGUGAAACUCAAAGGAAUUGACGGGGGCCCGCACAAGCGGAGGAACAUGUGGUUUAAUUCGAUGAUACGCGAGGAACCUUACCCGGGGCUUGAACUGCGGCGGAACGAUACCGAGAGGAUG
rnacentral:rRNA from 1 species